GACUGAAUAGCUCAGUUGGUUAGAGUGUGGUGCUGAUAAUGCCAAGGUUGCAGGUUUGAUCCCCGCAUGGAUGUCU